CUGCUGCUGGCAGUGUUGUGUUCAAGACCACCUAAACUGAGACCAAGUCAUCACCGAGACCAGAGUGUAUAGAGACCGUGACCCAGACUUUGAGGGGUUGAGACCGAGUCAAGACCAAGACCAUGUUGAAUUCCACACUGCAUGCCGCAA